GUCACUACGGUAGCACAGACUAAAACUGAAGCAAUACAGAGAAGACUGGCGUGUUCCCUGUGCACAGGUGACAUAUUAAGUUGUGAAGCAAUCCAUGCUAAA